UUCACAGUUCACACGAUCGAGAUGCUUCUUCACAGUUUGCGUUCCAGUUAUAGCAAAUUUCGUCUUUUUCCUUCCGGUGUGGCUUUAAAUGAGAACGAGUUCGAGAAGUCGAGAACCGUUGCAAACAUGGGACCGAGGAGCAUGGGACCGAGGAGCUCGUGGCUCGCUUAACUUAAAGCUAGGUUCAAAACUCCAAAACACAGAACCUUGUUAGGCCCAAAGCCCCAUGACUCCAUCACUAUGGUUUACAGGCCCAGGCGAAGACCCCAACAGUAGAAGCGAAGAUCCAUUGCAAUCGAGUUGUAACCCGGC
rnacentral:misc_RNA from 1 species